GCACGAAUAGUACAACGGCUAGUAUCCCGGCCUUCCAAGCCGGUGAUCUGGGUUCGAAUCCCGGUUCGUGCA
rnacentral:tRNA from 2 species